ACAGAGGUGGCAAGCGUUGUUCGGAUUCACUGGGCGUAAAGGGUGCGUAGGCGGUUCUGAAAGUCUGAUGUGAAAUCUCCAGGCCCAACCUGGAAAUGGCAUUAGAAACUACAGGGCUAGAGGCUUGGAGGGGGAACUGGAAUGCUCGGUGUAGCAGUGAAAUGCGUAGAGAUCGAGCGGAACACCAGUGGCGAAGGCGAGUUCCUGGACAAGUCCUGACGCUGAGGCACGAAAGCCGGGGGAGCAAACAGGA
rnacentral:rRNA from 1 species